rnacentral:rRNA from 1 species
UACGGAGGGUGCAAGCGUUAUCCGGAUUCACUGGGUUUAAAGGGUGCGUAGGCGGGUUGGUAAGUCCGUGGUGAAAUCCCCAAGCUUAACUUGGGAACUGCCGUGGAUACUAUCAAUCUUGAAUAUCGUGGAGGUAAGCGGAAUAUGUCAUGUAGCGGCGAAAUGCUUAGAUAUGACAUAGAACACCAAUUGCGUAGGCAGCUUACUACACGAUCAUUGACGCUGAGGCACGAAAGCGUGGGGAGCAAACAGG